rnacentral:lncRNA from 1 species
GUUGUACCAAUAACCAGCUGAGAACAUGAUAGUCUUGUAAGCAUGUGAGUCUGACACGUGUAUCGAGGCUGAGGUUGGAUCCAAACUAAGUUCUCGUGACUUAAUACCUUUCUCGUGAGGUCAUCAUGUGUCCCUAGAGUAGGGCCCGCUGCUCAUUCAUGGUCCCUCCCUUGUUGCUGUCAUCUUGGGCCGUCUGUGGAUUUUGGGCCUGAGAUUCUCGUCAUGCCCCCAUGAAACUAAAUCGUCCGUACCUACAUACGCGGAAUCAGCUUGCCAAGUUUUUUUUUCCCAAGGAAUUUGAUAACAAAUUCAAUUAAUAAAUUACAAUUAAUUAUCAUUGAAUCUGCAAUAACUAGUCAAUUACCAUUGAAUCCAUGUUUAUUGGCAAAUAUUUCGAGAUGGCUAAUUAAAAAACACCUCUUAUUUUCAAAUUGAAAGACUUCUUUUAGUCUUCCCUACGUUAAAUGAUUAGUGUUUGUUUAAUUUGUUCUUCAAAAUUUAUAAUUAUUAAACCUGAUUUAAUAUAUUUACUUAGUGAUUUAAUAAUCCCGUGUCUAAUUUAAACUUAGAUUUAUUUCAAAUAACUUUAUAAAACUUGAAUGAAAUCUAGUCGGAUCAUCUUUAAUUUUUUUUUUAAAAUAAAACAACAUCGUUUUGGAUAAAAUUAUUAAUUCAUGUAAAAACUUUUAGUUAUUCUUUUAAUAAAUACAAAAAAAAGAAUAAAAAAGCUAUUAUUAUUAUUAUUAUAACUUGGAGUCUCCUAAAUCUGCAUGUACAUUUCUUGUUACAUUUAAUCUUGAAUUAAAAAUGGUAUAUUGAGAUUUGUGUCCUUGUUCAUGAUUAAGGUUUGAAAACAGAAAUCUUUCUUUCGUCGUGAAAGUAAAAGAUACGAGGUUGUUGGGUGACAUAAUAGGGCAUCUAAAAAUACAUGAUGGUUUUGCACUUUGCAGGGGUUAAGUAAGAAGAGGUUCAAUUACAGUAGGGUAGUUGUUGAGAGAUCUUAGAUCGGCAUAUCCUCCACUGCUUGCUUUCAAGUCUCCUCGGACUUUGAUGACAUCUGAUCUCGGCAGUGCCUGAGCUAUUUGACCCUACGGUGACUAAAAUUGUGCCUUAAUUGACCGCGGCACAGACCUUCAAUUGGUAUUUACACCAAAGCUGUUUUUUGUUGUUGUUGUUGUUUUUAGUAUCGUCUCCAUCACGCUUAAACUAGAACAAAACCUUCUCGGCGAUGAGAUUUUGGGGCUACCAAAUUUGGAAACGGAAAGAAAAAACUUUAUUUAUUUAUUUUGGUUCUUAAGAACAUAGCAAACAAAUAAUUGACUGUCAAUUUCUUUAUGAAAACAAAACCAGUUUUUUGUUUUUAUUUUUAAUAUUAGUAUAUUAAAAUCAUAAAAGAAAACACUUAAAAACAUUGGUAUUGGUAUUUUUUCACAAAACAAAAUUUGAAAAACAGAAACAACAAGCCUAAUAGACAUGAUGCGGUGGUGUUUUUACUUAGCUUGGCUGAGACUGUUGGUGCUUAAAUCCCUGUCAAUGUUGUGAUGUAAAGACGAGUCAAAUUUAGGGUACAUGUAUACACAAUAAGGCUGGCGUUCUGGCGCUGAGCAUUGCCUUUUGUUUCCAUACAAAUCACGGGAGAAUGGUCUAGUCUAUACAAAAGGGGACAAUUAGGAAAAUGAUAAUAAGAUCUUGAGGGAGGAGCUUACCAGAACAUCCAUCCAACGAUGGAUGCACUAAUGCAAUUAUGUCAUUCACUGUGUCCUUGGGAUAAUAGGAAAGCCAAACCUAAUUAAUUGCAUGAGAGAAUCUGGCAAUAGAAGAACCCGUGAAGAAUAAAAUGGCCCACAAAGGGGCUAUUCUGCUUCCCACUGAUCAAUAUGCCUCCCUGCAUGCACAAAGGAUAAGCAACUGUGUGUGUGUAUUACAACAAGAAAUAUGAAAGACUACAACUAGAUGAGCAUCAUAGCUUGAUAUGAAUAAUUGUAUUCUUCAAAAGGUCAUCAUUUCAUACUUGAUAUCUCCACUGAUCGUGGAAAACUUGGGUUCAACUUAUCACAAUCUAGGCAUCUAAUUCAGAUUUUAAUAAAAGUAAUUAAUUUGCUUCCACAGCCUAGAUAUAUGACAGCUAAUCUAGUGUAGUCAUUCUACCACGACAUGUUGAAAUUUUUGCAGGCAAGGUACCGAAAAAAAUGGGAUUAAAUCUUGAGAAAUGGUAGGGGAAAUGUCACACCGAUAGAUGGUGCCAACCUUAAUCCUAUCGAAGACACGGUUUC